UGGGGCUCAACCCCAGACCUGCACUCGAUACGGGCUAGCUAGAGUUUGGUAGGGGAGACUGGAAUUCCUGGUGUAGCGGUGGAAUGCGCAGAUAUCAGGAGGAACACCAAUGGCGAAGGCAGGUCUCUGGGCCAAUACUGACACUGAGGAGCGAAAACNGGGAGCAACAGGAUUAGAUACCCUGGUAGUCCNCNCCGUAAACGGUNNNCCCUAGUUGUGGGGACCUUCCACNGUCUCUGCGACNNNGCUAACNCAUUAA
rnacentral:rRNA from 1 species